rnacentral:rRNA from 1 species
AAGACCUUGCGCUUUUGGAGCGGCCGAUGUCUGAUUAGCUUGUUGGUGAGGUAAAAGCUCACCAAGGCUUCGAUCAGUAGCUGGUCUGAGAGGACGGCCAGCCACACUGGGACUGAGACACGGCCCAGACUCCUACGGGAGGCAGCAGUGGGGAAUUUUGGACAAUGGGGGCAACCCUGAUCCAGCCAUGCCGCGUGAGUGAAGAAGGCCUUCGGGUUGUAAAGCUCUUUCAGUUGGGAAGAAAAGGUUACGGAUAAUACCUGUAACUCAUGACGGUACCGACAGAAGAAGCACCGGCUAACUACGUGCCAGCAGCCGCGGUAAUACGUAGGGUGCGAGCGUUAAUCGGAAUUACUGGGCGUAAAGGGUGCGCAGGCGGUCUUGUAAGUCAGAUGUGAAAUCCCCGGGCUUAACCUGGGAACU